GGCGAGAUGAUACUAAGUGUUGGAGGGUUUCCGCCCUUCAGUGCUGCAGCUAACGCAUUAAGUAAUCCGCCUGGGGAGUACGACCGCAAGGUUGAAACUCAAAAGAAUUGACGGGGGCCCGCACAAGCGGUGGAGCAUGUGGUUUAAUUCGAAGCUACGCGAAGAACCUUACCAGGUCUUGACAUCUUCUGCCAACCUAAGAGAUUAGGCGUUCCCUUCGGGGACAGAAUGACAGGUGGUGCAUGGUUGUCGUCAGCUCGUGUCGUGAGAUGUUGGGUUAAGUCCCGCAACGAGCGCAACCCUUAUUACUAGUUGCCAGCAUUCAGUUGGGCACUCUAGUGAGACUGCCGGUGACAAACCGGAGGAAGGUGGGGACGACGUCAAAUCAUCAUGCCCCUUAUGACCUGGGCUACACACGUGCUACAAUGGAUGGUACAACGAGUCGCGAAACCGCGAGGUUUAGCUAAUCUCUUAAAACCAUUCUCAGUUCGGACUGUAGGCUGCAACUCGCCUACACGAAGUCGGAAUCGCUAGUAAUCGCGGAUCAGCAUGCCGCGGUGAAUACGUUCCCGGGCCUUGUACACACCGCCCGUCACACCAUGAGAGUUUGUAACACCCAAAGCCGGUGGGGUAACCUUUUAGGAGCUAGCCGUCUAAGGUGGGACAGAUGAUUAGGGUGAAGUCUAAAAGGGGGGGGCCAAAAAACUUGGAAGGUCCCGGCCCUUCAGGGGGC
rnacentral:rRNA from 1 species